AGAAUCAACGCUGGCGGCGUGCCUAACACAUGCAAGUCGCACGAGAAAGGGGAGCAAUCCCUGAGUAAAGUGGCGCACGGGUGAGUAACACGUGAAUAAUCUACCUCCGAGUGGGGAAUAACUGAGAGAAAUCUUAGCUAAUACCGCAUAACACUUACGAGUCAAAGCAGCAAUGCGCUUGGAGAGGAGUUCGCGGCCGAUUAGUUAGUUGGCGGGUAAUGGCCCACCAAGACGAUGAUCGGUAUCCGGCCUGAGAGGGCGCACGGACACACUGGAACUGAAACACGGUCCAGACUCCUACGGAGGCAGCAGUGGGGAAUUUUGCGCAAUGGGGGAAACCCUGACGCAGCAACGCCGCGUGGAGGAUGAAGCCCCUUGGGGUGUAAACUCCUUUCGAUCGGGAAGAUAAUGACGGUACCGAUAUAAGAAGCCCCGGCUAACUUCGCGCCAGCAGCCGC
rnacentral:rRNA from 1 species